rnacentral:pre_miRNA from 1 species
GUAGUAUUCCCUCCGCCCCAAAAUUCUUGUCCUACAUUUUUUUAGAUACAUAUGUAUCUAACACUAAAAUGUAACUAGAUACAUCCAUAUUUAGACAAAUUUAAGACAAGAAUUUUGGGACGGAGGGAGUACAAA